UGCCUGCUGUCACUUUGCAGCUGUUCCGGCUUCCUCCGUGUGAGGCUCGUAACGUCUCCCGCGGAGUCGCCCUCGCUUCGCUCCGGGUCUCCCGUGGCCACCGAGCCUCGGAGCUCGACCGGCGCCUGCCCGCCCGUGCGGCCCUCGCGUCCCCGCGGCAGUCCAGGUCUGUGGAGAAACACUCACUAUCAUAUUAGAUGACCAAAAUGGACAUUCGAGGUGCCGUGGAUGCCGCAGUCCCAACUAACAUCAUUGCAGCUAAGGCUGCCGAAGUUCGUGCCAAUAAAGUAAACUGGCAGUCCUAUCUUCAGGGGCAGAUGAUUUCUGCUGAAGAUUGUGAAUUUAUUCAAAGGUUUGAAAUGAAAAGAAGUUGCGAGGAGAAGCAAGAGAUGCUUCAGGCUGAAGGCAGCCAGUGUGCUAAAACAUUUAUAAAUCUGAUGACACACAUCUCCAAAGAACAGACUGUGCAGUACAUACUAACCAUGGUUGAUGAUAUGCUGCAGGAAAAUCACCAGCGUGUCAGCAUUUUCUUUGACUAUGCAAAACGAUGCAAGAGCACUGCCUGGCCGUACUUUCUGCCAAUGUUGAAUCGCCAGGAUCCCUUUACUGUUCAUAUGGCAGCAAGAAUUAUUGCCAAGUUAGCAGCUUGGGGCAAAGAAUUGAUGGAAGGCAGUGACUUAAAUUACUAUUUUAACUGGAUAAAAACUCAGCUGAGUUCACAGAAACUUCGUGGUAGCGGUGUUGCUGUUGAAACAGGAACAAUCUCUUCAAUUGAUAGUUCUCAGUAUGUGCAGUGUGUUGCUGGCUGUCUGCAGCUGAUGCUCCGGGUCAAUGAGUACCGUUUUGCCUGGGUGGAAGCAGAUGGGGUGAACUGUAUAAUGGGCGUUUUGAGUAACAAGUGUGGCUUUCAACUGCAAUAUCAAAUGAUUUUUUCAAUAUGGCUCCUGGCAUUCAGUCCUCAAAUGUGUGAACACCUUCGCCGCUACAAUAUCAUUCCUGUUCUCUCAGACAUCCUUCAAGAAUCUGUCAAAGAGAAAGUAACAAGAAUCAUUCUUGCAGCAUUCCGUAAUUUCCUAGAAAAAUCAACUGAAAGAGAAACUCGCCAAGAAUAUGCUCUGGCUAUGAUUCAGUGCAAAGUCCUGAAACAGUUGGAGAACUUGGAGCAGCAGAAGUAUGAUGAUGAAGACAUCAGUGAAGACAUCAAAUUUCUUUUGGAAAAACUUGGUGAGAGUGUCCAGGACCUUAGUUCAUUUGAUGAAUACAGUUCAGAGCUUAAAUCUGGAAGGUUGGAAUGGAGUCCUGUACACAAGUCUGAGAAAUUCUGGAGAGAGAAUGCUGUGAGGUUGAAUGAGAAGAACUAUGAACUCUUGAAAAUCUUGACAAAACUUCUAGAGGUAUCAGAUGAUCCACAAGUCUUAGCUGUUGCUGCUCAUGAUGUUGGAGAAUAUGUUCGACAUUAUCCUCGGGGCAAACGGGUUAUUGAGCAGCUCGGUGGAAAGCAGCUGGUGAUGAACCACAUGCACCAUGAAGACCAGCAGGUCCGCUACAAUGCUCUGCUGGCCGUGCAGAAGCUCAUGGUGCACAACUGAAUGAUUUUAGAUGUAAUCCUCUAAUUCAGAAGCAACAGUGUGUGCGUAUGGACAGCUCAGGACUUCAGGAAAGAAACACUGAAUUUUGGAAUAUCUUGGCAAACAACUCCAGUCAGAGCAGCCUCAGACUGCUGCCGCCCGGAGCUGAGCUGGCCUCUUCAGCUUUUCUGCACCUCCGAUGGACCACUGGAGUGAGAACCUCAGUCCUUAGGGUCAAAAAUGAAUAGUUUUUAUUUCAAUGAUAAUUUCUGUUGUAUAGCUUUUUGCAGUGGUAAUUCCUGGGGUAAUAAAGGUGUUUGCUUGUUAAGUUGUAUAAAAGUAGGUGCUGUCUAUCUAGGAAAAUAUUAUUGUUACAUACAUUGCUUAUAAUUUCUGUAUUUAUUGUUCUCUGGAAAUAAAUAUAAUUAAAGGAUUCUCACUCCAAA